AUGCAAUGAUGAGGACAUCUUAGUAGAUCCUUAUAUCUUUCCUAUGCAUUAUAAAGAGAUUCACCAUCUUAUUGAACAAAAGAGGUGAUUUCACUUUGCAACUU